GUGGGGAAUAUUGGACAAUGGGCGCAAGCCUGAUCCAGCCAUGCCGCGUGAGUGAUGAAGGCCUUAGGGUUGUAAAGCUCUUUCAGUGGGGACGAUAAUGACGGUACCCACAGAAGAAGCCCCGGCUAACUUCGUGUCAGCAGCCGCGGUAAUACGAAGGGGGCUAGCGUUGUUCGGAUUUACUGGGCGUAAAGCGCACGUAGGCGGAUUGGUCAGUUAGAGGUGAAAUCCCGAAGCUCAACUUCGGAACUGCCUUUAAUACUGCCAGUCUCGAGUCCGGAAGAGGUGAGUGGAACUCCUAGUGUAGAGGUGGAAUUCGUAGAUAUUAGGAAGAACACCAGUGGCGAAGGCGUCUCACUGGUCCAGUACUGACGCUGAGGUGCGAAAGCGUGGGGAGCAAACAGGAUUAGAAACCCUGGUAGUCC
rnacentral:rRNA from 1 species